AUCGAACGCUGGCGGCAGGCCUAACACAUGCAAGUCGAACGAGUGGCGGACGGGUGAGUAAUGUCUGGGAAACUGCCUGAUGGAGGGGGAUCACUACUGGAAACGGUAGCUUAUACCGCAUACCAUCGGAUGUGCCCAGCUGGGAUUAGCUAGUGGGUGGGGUAAAGGCUCACCUAGGCGACGAUCCCUAGCUGGUCUGAGAGGAUGACGGGCCAUAGUGGGACGGUGAGCCGCCACAGCCGCCUCCGGGAGGCAGCAGAGGGAAGUAUUGCACAAUGGGCACAGGCCGGCUGAAACAAGGCCGGGGGUAGGAGGAAGGCCUUCGGGUUGUAACGCACUUUCAGCGGGGAGACGUUAACCGCAUAAGAAGCACCGGCUAACUCCGUGCCAGCCGCCGCGGUAAUUC
rnacentral:rRNA from 1 species